UGAGGAAUAUUGGUCAAUGGGCGGAAGCCUGAACCAGCCAUGCCGCGUGCAGGAAGGAGGCCCUACGGGUUGUAAACUGCUUUUACCCGGGAAGAAACCGCCCCCUGUGGGGGGCGUUGCCGGUACCGGGGGAAAAAGGAUCAGCUAACUCCGUGCCAGCAGCCGCGGUAAUACGGAGGAUCCGGGCGUUAUCCGGAAUUACUGGGUUUAAAGGGUGCGUAGGCGGGGCUUUAAGCCGGCGGUGAAAUGCAGCGGCUCAACCGCUGGAAUGCCGUUGGGACUGGGGCUCUUGGAUACGGUCGGGGCGGGUGGAACUCGUGGUAUAGCGGUGAAAUGCAUAGAUAUCACGAGGAACGCCGGUAGCGAAGGCAGCUCGCCGGGCCGGUAUUGACGCUGAGGCACGAGAGCGUGGGGAUCGAACAG
rnacentral:rRNA from 1 species